CCAGUCUAUUUAAAGAUAUUUAUCCUGGAAAGAAGUUUGGGGCUUGAAAGUAAACUUGAUUAAAGUUCAACUUUAGUCAUUACUGACUUUAUUUGGUCUGAUACUGAGUGGGGGCGAGGUUCAGGUAGUUUGACCCCCAGCCCAGACAGACAUAUAACAAUAGAUUUGAUUAUGUGUAAAAUUCCUCUGCUAGCCCACGUUUAACCCACCAAAACCCCACAAAUUUGAUUCCUGCCAAAGCUGCCAAACUCAAAUAAAAUCAAGAAACUUUAAAAUUUUGUAUUCUAUUUCUAUUUCCUCCACAAAAACAGCGGGUAGUUUUGAUUAAGCGAGUAAAAGUGAGGCAGCUUUCACCGGGAGAAUUCAAAGAAGUCUCUGGCCCCAUCUAGUGGCCGAUGCCCUGUAAAAACCCAGGCUUUUUUGUUGAUUAGUAUUGAAAUUGGCCUUCUCCCUGAGUUAACAGUCACGCUGCAGAUGAGGAAAACAAACACUUGUCAACAUGUAAGCUCUUCCACACGCGUCCACAGAGAUCACCGGGGGCUCCCACCGUGACCCUAAUCUGCAGAUAAUCACAUUAUGGUGUUUAGAGCCUGUAGGAACUGCAGAGUCACCUCCCGUGGCCUGAUGGCACAGCGCUAACAAACAAGACCGCGAUGACGGCAGACUUUCUGCUGCACUUUGACAAGCAAAUCGGCAAAAAUCUGAGAUGUUUCCCAAACCGGGGGCUCCCCAGCCAGGAGAAAUGUCGGCCAUGCAAGUUAAAAAUACCAGGUUGCAUCUGAAUGGUGAGAACCUCAGGCUGGCAGCUAAAAACAGCCACUCCUCAAAGACACCUGGCCACCAUGUGUCACUGGCUUAUGAAAAGGAAGUGGUGGGUGGCUUUACAGCCCCCCCACUGACUCUCAGGUCACUCAGGCGUCCAUUAGGAAGCACCUUUCCCGAUCAACAAGCCAGACGCCCUCAUACCCUCGCACCACUGGACCUACCGGAGGAUGUGCGGGAGGCUCAGAGGCAAAAACUACAGCAAGAAGCCAAACCUCCAAAUGACACCAGGAAGGUGAGUUCCCCCAUGGGACUGAGACUUACAAGAGCAGCGGUGUGUCCCACUGAACCACACAGAGCAACAAGCAGAUCCUCCAGGCCUCAGCUCACAAGCUGCACCCCCAUGGAGCUCAAAGGAGACAGCCAGUUGGAGGAGGUGGUGUGCCGUGGUACCCUGGCUCCUCUGUACACCAAACCUGGACCCCCAACUCCUCAGAUUAGAGCUCAUGCUUCUUAUGGGACAGAGGAGGCAGCUCAGAAUCCCAGCAGCCUCCUGCAGGACACAAGGAGGAGGCGGCUGAGGCUGAGGAGAACACAAUGCCUGGAAGAGGAUCAGCAAGUUACAGAUAAAUCAACAGCAGGAUUAUCUGUGGAAAAAGGCAUUCUGGCUCAGGGUGUCCAGUGCAGAGGGGAGAGGACCGCGAGAGGCCAGCGUCCUCCUGGAAAAGGCAUCAGUCAGCCUCCCGCUGCCUCCCUGGAGAAGAGAAGCAUCAGGAAGAGCCAUCAAGAGGAUUACAGUCAGAACCGGCAGGCAGCAGAAAGUGGAAGGAGGGAACAAUUCCUGGAUGGUGUCAAGUGCUUCCAACUGGAGAUUAGGCAGAAAAAAAGACACAAAUCACUCCUCCCCUGUCCCCCUUGAACCCGAUUCCUUUAGAUCUUUUCCUGCUGUAAAUAAAGGGGGGGGGGGGGGGUUAUUUAGAGGCUUCUCAUUCUUCUCAACAAAGAGCAAUAUUCUCUUCCACCCUUUUAUUAAAGCGCAGCAUCCGGCGUGUGGUUGUGGGGGGGUCUCUGAGGGGACCCAGCACGAACUCACAGCAGCCCAAAGUUUGCCAAUGCACAUUACUCUCCCCCCCCCCCCCCCCCCCCCCCGCUGCUUCCAAAGUAGAAAACGAAUAAAUGAGCAGCCGUCAGGUGGCUUUCAGCUACAGAUUGUUCCUUUUCCAAAACCCGUGUCCCCGAUCGGGAAAUGUUCCAGCACGAUUGUCCUGAAGAAGCGACUGAAGUGAGGAGGAACCGUGGAGGGAUUUAACAAUUUCUGAGUCAUUAACAUUUAAUAAACAAUGUGAACCAUUCAUCCUGGAACGAGUCCCGCCUGUUUUUCAUAUUUCUGUGCUUCCGCUGGGAAUCAGCAGACUGAGAAUGUGAAUGUUCUAUAAUAAACUAGACUUAAAUGUGCACGAUAUGGUCUCUCCAAACACAACGACAGAGCUACAACGCUAAUGAUAAGAAUACUGAUAGCAGCCAGAUUAAGAUUUGAUGUUUUGCUCAUAAAUUGUUCACGAAGUGAAACUCCAAGCCUCUUUGGUUUCCUGCAACAUUCCUUUCCCAAACAAAUACCAAUAUCCAGAAAGUUGUCCCAAACAGUCCGAGGAUGCUAAGCAGCUGCUCCCUUUACUUAGACAUGUAAGGGGAACUCUGGC
ensembl:lncRNA